UAUGUGAUCGUCUCUCGCAUAUCAAUAAGCGGAGGAAAAGCGCAUUAAAGAUCCAGAUACCUACGCUUAGGAUGUUGACACACGCGCGUGCUCGAUGAUAGUCUAUACAUGACUCUGUGCAUAUCAAUAAGCGGAGGAAAAGAAACUAACAAGGAUUCCCCUAGUAACGGCGAGUGAAGCGGGAAGAGCUCAAAUUUGAAAUCUUAAAGGGUUUCCCUUUACGAAUUGUAGUUUAAAGAAGUGUUUUCUGCUUGAGGUUUUGGUAAAAGUUCUUUGGAAUAGGACAUCAUAGAGGGUGAGAAUCCCGUAUUUGACCUUUACUUUCAACUUUGUGAUACACUUUCAAAGAGUCGGAUUGUUUGGGAAUGCAGUCCAAAAUGGGUGGUAAAUUUCAUCUAAAGCUAAAUAUUGGCGAGAGACCGAUAGCGAACAAGUACCGUGAGGGAAAGAUGAAAAGAACUUUGAAAAGAGAGUUAAACAGUACGUGAAAUUGUCAAAAGGGAAGCGUUUGACACCAGUGUUGUUUUUCUGAAAAUCAAUUAAAGAACUGUUUAUGCUAAGCUUGUUUAGACUUUAUCAGCUAACUGUUUAGUUUUGAGCUUUUCUUUAAUGCACUUUUCAGUUAACAAGUCAACAUCAAUUUCUUUUGCUGUAAAAAAAGCUUGAGGAAGGUGGCUUGAGAUAGGAAAGGAAAGGAAUAAUUUCGUCUUAAGUGUUUAUAGCCUCUUGCCUAUGCAGUCGGAGAGAUUGAGGUCUGCAGCGUAGAUCCUUCGGGGCUAAAUGCAUUUGUGCUAAGUUAUAGCAUUUUAUAGACAACUUGUUGACUAUGAUUUGUCUUGUAGCUUACUCGCUUAUGUUAUUUUACCUACGCUUAGGAUGUUGACACACGCGCGUGCUCG
rnacentral:rRNA from 1 species